CCUUAUGCUUAAAAUUCAGUUACUUUUAAAGGAGUUUUAUUUAUAAAAUAAUCCGGUUUGUUAGAAAACUUGAUCGAUUUAUUUUGCAUAACUAAUUCUAUACGUGCAUUUGUAAACAAAUGACCCCCCUUUUCUCUCUAAAGACUGUUACGCGUAUUUAAAUCAUACAAUUAUUUCUCAAGCAUUGAUAUAUCCUCUGAUUUUCUCUUUUUUUGUAAACUGUUCAAUAAGUCGGAUACAUAAAUCAUUUGGAAAUGUUAUUCAUUUGAGGUCGAGUCGACAAUAUUCUACUUUCGUUUUUCACCUUGAUUCUCUGAACACCACGUGGGCUUUGAAAAAUGAACUUCAAUAGAUACUGUGUCCCAGAUUCUGAACAAUAUGAUCUACUACACUUUCUUUAAUUUGACUGAUAUUAUUCCAUAACAUAAGAUUGUCAUCCUAUCUGAUUGUCUUCACGUUUUAAACGCCCAAAAAAAGCCAACGAGUUAAUGACCAUCGGAACGUCUCUAUUGUUAUCGUUCAAUGACCACCGGAACGUCUCUCUUGUUAUCUUUGAAAAGAAACGUUGCAUUCUGACUUUAAAUAGACAACCAAUCAGUGACUGAAUUCAUGUGAACUAUAUUUAGCCCAAGGUAAACACUGACUUGUCAUCCCUUGUUUAUCGUGACCUGCGACUUUGCGACAAUACGUCUCUCGGCUGCCUGUAAACAUUUGAAAAAGUUAUUUUUUUCUUUUUGAAUUUAUAUUUUUGUAAGUGAAGUAGCCGGCACUUGAGGCCACCGCAAACGGCGGAUUUCCGCCGGCUACCGGCUUCAAUGGAAAGCCCUGAUAAUUUAAUUCUGAAUUCCAUUUUAAACCGUAGAAAACCAUGAAAAAACAUUGAUGACGUCACGGUAACGUGACCAAAUUAUGUCUAUGGGCUGAUAACAAAAUAACGUCAGCCAAUCAGGAGACGCGUUACAUCCAAAAUUAAAUUAUUCUUAAAUAUUGAUCACUCAACAUGCAGACAUCUUAUACGUUCAGGUAUUUCACAUCCAAUCUUUUAUGAUAAUAUUCUUUACAAAGCACAAAAAUGUCAGCAUUCACCUCA
rnacentral:lncRNA from 1 species